GCAAGAGUUAAAAAAGUUCUAUGAAUUACCAGUAUUAGAAUAUUGUAAAAGCAAGAACUUGAAAUUUACGAAAGUAAAAUGUGGUGCAAUUAAACUGGAUAAAUGUAAGGAUGUUAUAGAAUGUUCACAUAUUCAAAAAGAUAUAAUAGAUGCAGCUUCUUUUGAUAAUUUUUGUGAAAAGGUGUGCGGUAUUCCAAAAUUUCCACCGAAAGUACAAAUUUUACCUCUUGAGCAAAAAUUGUACGAAGAAGAUAAUCCUUAUCUUAUAAAUAUUAAUAUAAAAGUGACUUUAAA